UCCCUCAUAGCUCAGUUGGUAAAGAAUCUGCCUGCAAUGCAGGAGACCCAGAUUCAAUUCCUGGCUCAGGAA
rnacentral:tRNA from 1 species